rnacentral:misc_RNA from 1 species
CAACCCCUCAAGCUCUGCUUGGUGUUGGGGCCCCUACGUGCGCCGUAGGCCCCGAAUUCUAGUGGCGGGCUCGCCGCGAAACCGAGCGUAGUAGUAUUACCCUCGCUCAGGACGUCGCGGUGGGCGCCGGCCGUGAAAGAGAACCUAUUUAAAAUGCAAUACA